rnacentral:lncRNA from 1 species
ACAGCCUGUAGUCACAGAAUGUUCUGGGCUCACCCUCUUCUCUGGCCUGGGGAAGUGAGGCUCAGCGUAGAGGCUGUACCCACAGGCACAUGACGGUCUGCACCCAGGCCAGGGCUCAGUGAGGAGCCGGAGUGUCCCGGCCUGCCUGGACUCCAGCCGGGACCUCCCACAUGAGGCUCAUUCAUCUAUGCCCAGGAUUCUCAAAGAACCCCGGCCCCAGCCUGCUCUCUGUCAUGUGCUGAGCCCCAAGCUUACCCAUGCCUCCUGCCGUGGGGACCAGAGAAUGAGAAGACCACCAGGGAGACCCGCCCUGGAGACCAUGGUGUGCUGCUGACUCACGGUGAGGCGGUUUCCUGAGGCGGGAGCGAGCCCCAGCCACCCACAGGAGUGUCUUCCAAGGGAGUGGAGGUGUGGGGAGACCAAGGCAAGCCCUAAAGGGUGCCAGAGAAUGACAUCACCAAGUGUGCCCUCUGUCCUGUCACUUGGAGCUCCUGGAAGCACAGAAUGUCCCUCAGCCUGGACACUGCCCCUGGCCUGGGGAGGUAGAUGCUCCCCACCUCCCCUCCUGCCCUAGUGCAGAGGAAAGAAGAUCAAAUCUGGAGUCAGCAGACAUAGGAGUCUAAUCCCUGGUUCUGAUAUAUCUAGGCAGUCAUUGCCUUAGCCACACUCAGCCUUAAUCUCCUGAUCUGCAAAAUGGGGAGAACCACACUAACUUUGCAGUUUGCGGUGAGAGUCAAGGAAACCCACGUGAGAAGUGUCUGGCACUGUGCCUCGCAUGUAGUAAGUACUCACUAAAUACUCGUUUACAGUUUUUUUCCCCUCCCUGUCUUAACCUUUUUUUCUCCAGUAAGUGACUGGGGACAGGAGUCCACUCUAAGAACCUCUGCCUGCCCUCAGAACUCCGUGGCCAGUGAGGGCUGCAUGACCCCUUUGUGCUGGGAAGGUGCAUCUCAGGACACUGACCUGCCUGUGCCCAGGCUCAUGGUGUGGGCAGAGAAACUGUGGGUGAGACCUUUGUGAAAAUGGAAACCCAGAUGACCGGGAAGGGGAGGGGCCCCAGGAGGAGGGAGAACCAAAGGUCCUUGCUGUCUGUUAUUCCACCUGUUUGUUUUCCCCUAAUCCCCAGCCCACAGGGAGCUGCCACAUUUCCCCUGACUCCCCCAGCGGGCCCAGCUCAGGGGCAGAGGCCGAGCAACACAAGCUGAUCAGGCCACCAUCACUGUUGGCUUCUGUGCCCAGGGGGUCCCUGCAGCCACCAUCAGGAAAGCUCCCACCCUGGGGACAGUCUCUCCUGCCUCCUGUUCUUCCUGGGGUCAAAGACGUGCUCCUGCUCAAGGGUGAGCAGGUGCAUGGGCUGGUGCCACCAGCUGGUACAGUGGCUCCCUUCUGCUCCCAUGAGGGGCCUGGGAGAUAUUUCAGGGCUCUGUCCUCAGCCAAGCGUGGACUCAGCCAAACACUUGGGCAGGAGGGAUGGUAUCUUGUUGCCUUCAGGGCUUGGCUGAGCCCAGGGUCGAGAGCAUUUUCAGAUAGAUGCCUGCUAACACACCAAACACGUCACUCCUUAACAAGAUCUCCCUUGUGCCAGGGCUUGAGCUGAGCUCCAGGGAGUGAGAGAAAGGGGACCUAACAGACUUGUGGGAGACGAGCGUGAAGACAAAGCAAUGACCCCAGAUAGGCCAGUCGCAAAUGCCAGGAAAGAUCCACGGACCCUGGAGUUUCACCUGGACCUUGAGAAACAGAAUUUGAAUAUUGUGGAGAUUAACAAAACAAAACACCACAGGAGCAAAGGUCCUGAGUGAAGCUGGCCCUUUGGGGCUGGUGUAUCUGGUCAGCUGGUAGGCAUGGAGGGCCCACCCCACGGGGAGAAGCCAGGCAGAGAAAGAAGGCUGGAGGCGGCCGGAAAAGACGGAAAAGACACAGGUGUCAGGCGACGUUUGAAUUGAUUUUCAGCACUAGGGAGCCAUCUCUGAUCAGGGAGUGGAGUGAGCAGAAAUGCCUUCUGGAGGAGGCCUUGAAACCACCUUUGCAAAAAUGGUAUCAGUGAGAAAAUUAUGACAGUGAAAGAGAUCUCAGCUAACCUACCCCCAAUCUUUCCUUUCCCUUCCUUAUUCCUGGGUAUUGGGCCGAGCUAACUUUGAAGACAUUUAGGCUGUAGUUUAAAUGGUAACAGGCCUUGUCCCAAAACGCAGCUGCUUUUGUAAAGCUAAUGAGAGGCCAUCAGGCCUGGGGGAGUAGAGGGCCCUGACUCCUGCUAAGGCGCAGACAUAAAAGACUGUCAGCCACGAUGCCAGAGGUCAGAAGACAGGCAACUUCCCUAAUUACUCCUGCAAAUAAUGCCAAUGUUGUGAACCUAAGGUCGGCCUUCCGAGAUACCUUUUCAGGCCUUUUGCAUGUCUGACACCCAUGGCUCCACCUGGACCCGCCAACCUUGCCCCUGUGGCCCCACCCAGAAGUGACUCAGCACCCAGGAGGACAGCUUCGACCCCCUAAGAUUUCAUCUCUGCCAACAGCAAGCACCUGUUACCUGGCCACCCCCAACUCUUCCCCCAAACUGCCUUUGAAAAACCCCUAACCUACAAGCUUUGAAGAUAAUUUCAGUACUAACUCUGUCUCCCACAUGGCACGGCGGGCCUUGGGUCUGUUCAAUUCUUUCUUUACUGCAAUUCCACGACCUUUCUUCAUGCAGUGGGCAGGAAGAACUCCUCCAGUGAUUACAGCCUGGGGUGCAGGGUCUGGAUGGACGGAGCAGCACCUGGAGAGGGCCGUUAACCCUCUGUUGUCCAUGUGUGGCUAGGCGAGGGCUGCAGCCAGACCCAUGGCCUUAUCUGCCUGCAGGGCCCGCCUGAGCCCUCAGUGACAGACACAGGUUUCUAAGCCAACCCAGAGGGGAUGCAGAGCCCUCCCUUUGGAGAGUUGAGAUCCUGCUGAACCUAGGAAAGUACUGAAACACCAGCAGAGAGCUCACAGAGCAGCCAUGGCCAGGGCUCAGGCACUGCCUGCGGCCCACCCUGGAGCUCCCACGCCCACCUGUCUCAUCUUUCCAGAACUGGCCCAUCUCUGCAGAGUUGGCAGCAGGUCCUCCUGCCAGCUGAGAGCCAGCUCCAGGACUCCUUGGCUUUUUCCAGGCAGAGCCCAAGGCCCAGGUGCCAAACCCGUGUCCCAGCUCUUCUUGGCAGGCCUGGCCCUUGUUUGUCUUUGGGUUUUUCAACUUUUUAUUUUGGAAUCAUUACAGACAAGUUGCAACGAUAGUACAGAGAGUUCGUUCCCAUGUACCCUCACCCAGCUUCCGCUAGUGUUAACGUCUUACAUAACCGUGGUACACUUGUCAAAGCAAAGAAAUUAACAUUGGAACAAUACUAUUAAUUGAACUACAGACUUUAUUUGGAUUUUAGAGUUUUUCCUUAAGGGACAUUACAGUGUCAUUUUUCUUGCCUAGGCCCAAUCCCGGUUGCCACGUUGCAUUUAGUUGUCACGUCCUUUGGUCUCCUUUCACCUGGGACCACUUCUCAGGGUUUCCUUGCUUCUUAUGACCUUGACAAUUUUUUUUAAAUUAUGGUAAAAUAGAUACGUAACAUAUUGCUAUUUUAACCAUCUUUAAGUGUAUAAUUAAGUGGCAGUAAUUGCAUUCACAAUGUUGUGAAACCAUCAUCACUAUUUCCAAAACAGAAACUCUGCCCCUUAACCAGUAACUCUCCACUCCCCUCCUCCCAGGUACCUUUUUUUUUUUUCUUUUGCGACAGAGUCUUGCUCUGUUGCCCAGGCUGCAAUGAUCUUGGC